ensembl:lncRNA
CGCUUAUAUUUGACCGGGGCAACUCUAGCAGGGCAGAAAUUUGACGAACUGACAAUAUGAAAAGGUGGCAUGUUGAAAGUCACUGAGCUCUUCAGUAUAGGCCAUUGUACUGCCAAUGUUUGUCUAUGGAGAUUGCAUGACUGCGUGCUCGAUUUUAUACAACUGUCAGCAACGGUUGUGGCUGAAAUAGCCAAAUCUACUAAUAUGAAGGGGUGGCCACAUACGUUUGGCCGUAUUGUGUGUGUAUAGGCCUAAAUAAUCAUUGAUGAUAUGACUGAAAAGAUAUGGUUACAUUUCAUUUGCUCUGUUGAAUUUAUCUGUUGGAAUGACUUCAAUAGCAACAGUGAAUCUAUUACUGUAAGUGGAGAUUUCAUAACAAUCAUUCUCACAAUAGCACAUUGGUAAUAGUCAGUAACAAACAUCAAAGCUAAGCAGGGCUGGGCUUGGUUAAAACCCUGGAUGGGAGACCAAAAUGGAUACCUGUAGAUAGAUCAACUCUCCAGUAGGAGGUGCUGCCCAGAUGUUUUUUUUCUUGUAGUGGAUAUUACACCGAAGACCUGAAGUUUUUUUCAAACGUACAAAUUCAACCCAUUUUAUAUCAAGGUUUGUCUUGUUGAAAAUGGAUUACCAUGACAUAAUCCUGUGGUUGAAAUGUUACCCUCAACAACAGUUGAUUACUUUUUUUAAGGAUGUGAGUACUCAUACACCUGUACUUCACUCUUACUUAUCAUAAACUCCAAAUAUAAUGUAUACACAAACUAUAGGACUAAAUAAAUUCAUUAUUUUCUGUCUGUAGGGUUAUGUGAUAAUCCAGACAGAUUUUGGCUUCCCCCAUCUGUUUGUGGAAUUCCUCAGGAAGACUCUGGAGUGACUCAAAUAUUGAGCUGGUGGGAGUGGUCAAAGCUCCUCCCUCUUUUGAGACACAUACAGUUAUAAUGUGCUCCGAUGUGCAAUGUUUUGAAUGACUCUAUUAGCGGAAAUGUUGAUAAACUUUAGACUUGGGAGUACAAUUACUAAUUGUAAUUGCACCUGGACCAGGAACAGGUGCAAGCACAUAGCAAAUCAGGCACUGUGUAUAAGCCUAUUAAACUGCAGUUUGAGUACCGAUCAGAUGACUAGACCGUCAGUUGUUAGCGAGAAGUCCUGGCCUCACUCUCCUAGAUCUGUCAGAAGACGACAUCAAGGCUGGUACUCUCAAGGCCCUGACUGACUCUCUACAGAAGCUGAACGUCUCCAAACAGAUUGUCCACAUAUCUGUUGAUGGGCUGAUGAUUCUGACCAGUUUCCUGUCUGUAUGUCUUGAUGUGGUUCAAGUGGACAUCAGUCUGACGGGCUGUGCUCUUCGUCUCCCUCACUUGGACCGUCUGUGUGAGAAUCUGAGGGACUGCUCUGCUCUGACUAUGCUGGAGUAAGUGUUCUCAGGGAGAGACUUUGGAGUGUGAAAUAGCAAUACGGAUAAUUGUUGGAAUGCACAUAUACAAGGACCUGUUUGUUUUUGUUCAUCACCCCCCACCGUUGUCAGUAUUUCCAACAAUGCUUUGGAAAACAAAGGUCUGAAGAAGUUGUUGGACCUCUUGCCUCAGCUUAGCAACAUACAGGAAAUCAAUGUCAGUGAGAAUGCAGUCAGCAUGGAAGGAGUUGUGCAGCCUAGCUGGAACCCUGUGCUCACACAGGAACAUGAGUGAAGUGAAUAUCAGAAUACUAUCAACGGGAUUGGAACAGUGUAAGAAACUCAGGUAGGACACAGAACGAUAUGUAACUUUUUGGGCGACCCAACCAAAUUCACAUAGAAAUGUGAGUUAUUGUCACGCCCUGGUCUUAGUAUUUUGUGUUUAUAUAUUUAUUUGGUCAGGCCAGGGUGUGACAUGGGUUUAUUUUGUGGUGUGUUUUUGUAUUGGGGUUUUUAGUAGGUAUUGGGAUU